rnacentral:rRNA from 1 species
AUUGAACGCUGGCGGCAUGCCUUACACAUGCAAGUCGAACGGCAGCGCGGACUUCGGUCUGGCGGCGAGUGGCGAACGGGUGAGUAAUACAUCGGAACGUACCCUGUUGUGGGGGAUAACUAGUCGAAAGAUUAGCUAAUACCGCAUACGACCUGAGGGUGAAAGUGGGGGACCGCAAGGCCUCACGCAGCAGGAGCGGCCGAUGUCUGAUUAGCUAGUUGGUGGGGUAAAGGCCCACCAAGGCGACGAUCAGUAGCUGGUCUGAGAGGACGAUCAGCCACACUGGGACUGAGACACGGCCCAGACUCCUACGGGAGGCAGCAGUGGGAAAUUUUGGACAAUGGGCGAAAGCCUGAUCCAGCAAUGCCGCGUGUGUGAAGAAGGCCUUCGGGUUGUAAAGCACUUUUGUCCGGAAAGAAAUGGCUCUGGUUAAUACCUGGGGUCGAUGACGGUACCGGAAGAAUAAGGACCGGCUAACUACGUGCCAGCCGCCGCUGUAA